AAAUUGAAGAGUUUGAUCAUGGCUCAGAUUGAACGCUGGCGGCAGGCCUAACACAUGCAAGUCGAACGGUAACAGGAAUCAGCUUGCUGAUUCGCUGACGAGUGGCGGACGGGUGAGUAAUGUCUGGGAAACUGCCUGAUGGAGGGGGAUAACUACUGGAAACGGUAGCUAAUACCGCAUAAUGUCGCAAGACCAAAGAGGGGGACCUUCGGGCCUCUUGCCAUCGGAUGUGCCCAGAUGGGAUUAGCUAGUAGGUGGGGUAACGGCUCACCUAGGCGACGAUCCCUAGCUGGUCUGAGAGGAUGACCAGCCACACUGGAACUGAGACACGGUCCAGACUCCUACGGGAGGCAGCAGUGGGGAAUAUUGCACAAUGGGCGCAAGCCUGAUGCAGCCAUGCCGCGUGUAUGAAGAAGGCCUUCGGGUUGUAAAGUACUUUCAGCGGGGAGGAAGGGAGUAAAGUUAAUACCUUUACUCAUUGACGUUACCCGCAGAAGAAGCACCGGCUAACUCCGUGCCAGCAGCCGCGGUAAUACGGAGGGUGCAAGCGUUAAUCGGAAUUACUGGGCGUAAAGCGCACGCAGGCGGUUUGUUAAGUCAGAUGUGAAAUCCCCGGGCUCAACCUGGGAACUGCAUCUGAUACUGGCAAGCUUGAGUCUCGUAGAGGGGGGUAGAAUUCCAGGUGUAGCGGUGAAAUGCGUAGAGAUCUGGAGGAAUACCGGUGGCGAAGGCGGCCCCCUGGACGAAGACUGACGCUCAGGUGCGAAAGCGUGGGGAGCAAACAGGAUUAGAUACCCUGGUAGUCCACGCCGUAAACGAUGUCGACUUGGAGGUUGUGCCCUUGAGGCGUGGCUUCCGGAGCUAACGCGUUAAGUCGACCGCCUGGGGAGUACGGCCGCAAGGUUAAAACUCAAAUGAAUUGACGGGGGCCCGCACAAGCGGUGGAGCAUGUGGUUUAAUUCGAUGCAACGCGAAGAACCUUACCUGGUCUUGACAUCCACGGAAGUUUUCAGAGAUGAGAAUGUGCCUUCGGGAACCGUGAGACAGGUGCUGCAUGGCUGUCGUCAGCUCGUGUUGUGAAAUGUUGGGUUAAGUCCCGCAACGAGCGCAACCCUUAUCCUUUGUUGCCAGCGGUCCGGCCGGGAACUCAAAGGAGACUGCCAGUGAUAAACUGGAGGAAGGUGGGGAUGACGUCAAGUCAUCAUGGCCCUUACGACCAGGGCUACACACGUGCUACAAUGGCGCAUACAAAGAGAAGCGACCUCGCGAGAGCAAGCGGACCUCAUAAAGUGCGUCGUAGUCCGGAUUGGAGUCUGCAACUCGACUCCAUGAAGUCGGAAUCGCUAGUAAUCGUGGAUCAGAAUGCCACGGUGAAUACGUUCCCGGGCCUUGUACACACCGCCCGUCACACCAUGGGAGUGGGUUGCAAAAGAAGUAGGUAGCUUAACCUUCGGGAGGGCGCUUACCACUUUGUGAUUCAUGACUGGGGUGAAGUCGUAACAAGGUAACCGUAGGGGAACCUGCGGUUGGAUCACCUCCUUA
rnacentral:rRNA from 1 species